rnacentral:rRNA from 1 species
UACGAAGGGGGCUAGCGUUGCUCGGAAUCACUGGGCGUAAAGCGCACGUAGGCGGAUUGCUAAGUCAGGGGUGAAAUCCCGGAGCUCAACUCCAGAACUGCCUUUGAUACUGGCGACCUUGAGUCCGGGAGAGGUGAGUGGAACUGCGAGUGUAGAGGUGAAAUUCGUAGAUAUUCGCAAGAACACCAGUGGCGAAGGCGGCUUACUGGCCCGGUACUGACGCUGAGGUGCGAAAGCGUGGGGAGCAAACAGG